CAACCACUGACUGAACAAUACAAAUCGAAAACAAAUAAAUCGUAAAAUCAGUGUUAUCACCAGAUUUCGCCGAUAAGAUUUCUUUCGGUACCAACAAUGAAUUAAUGUUUAAAUAAAUUAUUAAAAUUCGUCAGGGUGAUACGAUCUAUCCAUCCGUUCGUAUUAUAAUGGGCGAUGAAUGCGAGAUGGGUACUAAAUGGCAUACGUGGAAAUGAGGAUUAGGUUAUAGAAAAAAUAAUCAAGAGUCAAGAUGUAGCUUAUGAAGUAUUUCUGCUAGUGACUCUCUUAUCCUGCUGACUAUCUGGAAUACUUCAGCUUCGCGGUCUCUCUGUACUUACAAUAUUAAUGAUGGAGAGCGGCGCGAGGAAGUCGAGGCUGCCCACCAGCGUGAGCGUCGUCAGCCAGUGCACCAAGUACGCCGUCAGGGACAUGCGCCCCAAUAUCUCCCAGCCGCGCCACGACAAAAACUUCCAGUACAGACCUUAAACAUUAGACUGCGUCAGGAGCUGUGCGGGGGACGCAGCGGCCACCCGCACAGCUCGCUAGCAGUGUGUUAGAAGACGAUGAUAUUGACGUUGAAAACCGUUCAUCUUGCUUCUUAUGGGUUCUAAUAAUCAUGAAUACCACUCUACUAAUUAAUAUUACGGGUAUUUUAAGCCUGUACAGCCGUUCCUUCGGUUCCCAUUGGCACGUUUUUGGAGCAAGACUUUUCUUAUUCAGAAUUCAAAGUCAUCCUGCUUUCUCCUCGACCUUCCGCAACGCAGGUGCUUGUGGUGAUACAUAGAAAACUCGAUAAAAAUCGGACCAAGGUGACGGAAGCUUCUCAUACACAAUUAACCUCAUUUCCUCCCAAGACUUAUGAGUACUACGUCGUUUACGUUUGCGAGAUUAACAAUGAAAUAAAGUUCAUGAAAAGGCAA